CCCCUUGAACCGACAGCCCGGACAGCCUAGAUCAUGCCCUGUCAGCUUGCUGACUAUGGUGAUAAACGGCGCGUGGAAUAAUCGUUGUGGACCCGGGGGCAGUGCCCGGCGCCUCCACCAUCCAUCCCGGACUAUCGGGAUAUAUGGGGGCGAAACAGGCUCGACACGCGUGGUAAAGACUCGCCUUUUGCCCGGCAUGAUACCGCCGUUAUCGGGUCAAAUCACAAGUGCCAACGAUAAUCAGGCGCUCGCCGUCGCUGCAUAAGCGAUAGGCGCGGUUCGGGGGGGCACCGGGCAACAGAAGCCCCCCCAAU
rnacentral:tmRNA from 1 species